UGGGGAAUUUUGGACAAUGGGCGCAAGCCUGAUCCAGCCAUGCCGCGUGCGGGAAGAAGGCCUUCGGGUUGUAAACCGCUUUUGUCAGGGAAGAAAUCUUCUGAGUUAAUACCUCGGGAGGAUGACGGUACCUGAAGAAUAAGCACCGGCUAACUACGUGCCAGCAGCCGCGGUAAUACGUAGGGUGCAAGCGUUAAUCGGAAUUACUGGGCGUAAAGCGUGCGCAGGCGGUUUUGUAAGACAGAGGUGAAAUCCCCGGGCUCAACCUGGGAACUGCCUUUGUGACUGCAAGGCUUGAGUGCGGCAGAGGGGGGAUGGAAUUCCGCGUGUAGCAGUGAAAUGCGUAGAUAUGCGGAGGAACACCGAUGGCGAAGGCAAUCCCCUGGGCCUGCACUGACGCUCAUGCACGAAAGCGUGGGGAGCAAACAGGAUUAGAUACCCUGGUAGUCCACGCCCUAAACGAUGUCAACUGGUUGUUGGGAAGGUUCCUUCUCAGUAACGUAGCUAACGCGUGAAGUUGACCGCUGGGGAGUACGGCCGCAAGGUUGAAACUUAAAUGAAUUGACGGGG
rnacentral:rRNA from 1 species